rnacentral:rRNA from 1 species
AACGAACGCUGGCGGCAUGCCUAACACAUGCAAGUCGAACGAGACCUUCGGGUCUAGUGGCGCACGGGUGCGUAACGCGUGGGAACCUGCCCUUAGGUUCGGAAUAACUCCCCGAAAGGGGUGCUAAUACCGGAUAAUGUCUUCGGACCAAAGAUUUAUCGCCUUUGGAUGGGCCCGCGUUGGAUUAGCUAGUUGGUAGGGUAAAAGCCUACCAAGGCGACGAUCCAUAGCUGGUAUGAGAGGAUGAUCAGCCACACUGGGACUGAGACACGGCCCAGACUCCUACGGGAGGCAGCAGUGGGGAAUAUUGGACAAUGGGCGAAAGCCUGAUCCAGCAAUGCCGCGUGAGUGAUGAAGGCCUUAGGGUUGUAAAGCUCUUUUACCCGGGAUGAUAAUGACAUUACCGGGAGAAUAAGCUCCGGCUAACUCCGUG